GGGCUCAUAGCUCAGUCGGUUAGAGCGCGCCCCUGAUAAGGGCGAGGUCGGUAGUUCGAAUCUACCUGGGCCCACCA
rnacentral:tRNA from 2 species